rnacentral:rRNA from 1 species
GGACGAACGCUGGCGGCGUGCUUAACACAUGCAAGUCGAGCGAUGAAGCUUCCUUCGGGAAGUGGAUUAGCGGCGGACGGGUGAGUAACACGUGGGUAACCUGCCUCAAAGUGGGGGAUAGCCUUCCGAAAGGAAGAUUAAUACCGCAUAAUAUGAGAGAAUCGCAUGAUUUUCUUAUCAAAGAUUUAUUGCUUUGAGAUAGACCCGCGGCGCAUUAGCUAGUUGGUAAGGUAACGGCUUACCAAGGCAACGAUGCGUAGCCGACCUGAGAGGGUGAUCGGCCACAUUGGAACUGAGACACGGUCCAGACUCCUACGGGAGGCAGCAGUGGGGAAUAUUGCGCAAUGGGGGAAACCCUGACGCAGCAACGCCGCGUGGGUGAUGAAGGUCUUCGGAUUGUAAAGCCCUGUUUUCUGGGACGAUAAUGACGGUACCAGAGGAGGAAGCCACGGCUAACUACGUGCCAGCAGCCGCGGUAAUACGUAGGUGGCGAGCGUUGUCCGGAUUUACUGGGCGUAAAGGGUGCGUAGGCGGAUGUUUAAGUGGGAUGUGAAAUCCCCGGGCUUAACCUGGGGGCUGCAUUCCAAACUGGAUAUCUAAAGUGCAGGAGAGGAAAGCGGAAUUCCUAGUGUAGCGGUGAAAUGCGUAGAGAUUAGGAAGAACACCAGUGGCGAAGGCGGCUUUCUGGACUGUAACUGACGCUGAGGCACGGAAGCGUGGGUAGCAAACAGGAUUAGAUACCCUGGUAGUCCACGCCGUAAACGAUGGAUACUAGGUGUAGGGGGUAUCAACUCCCCCUGUGCCGCAGUAACA